rnacentral:rRNA from 1 species
UGCUUGCAAGUGAAGAUGGCGACCGGCGCACGGGUGAGUAACACGUAUCCAACCUGCCGAUAACUCGGGGAUAGCCUUUCGAAAGAAAGAUUAAUAUCCGAUGGUAUAUCAAUCCCGCAUGAGAUUGAUAUUAAAGAAUUUCGGUUAUCGAUGGGGAUGCGUUCCAUUAGUUUGUUGGCGGGGUAACGGCCCACCAAGACUACGAUGGAUAGGGGUUCUGAGAGGAAGGUCCCCCACAUUGGAACUGAGACACGGUCCAAACUCCUACGGGAGGCAGCAGUGAGGAAUAUUGGUCAAUGGACGUAAGUCUGAACCAGCCAAGUAGCGUGAAGGAUGACUGCCCUAUGGGUUGUAAACUUCUUUUAUAUGGGAAUAAAGUAUUCCACGUGUGGGAUUUUGUAUGUACCAUAUGAAUAAGGAUCGGCUAACUCCGUGCCAGCAGCCGCGGUAAUACGGAGGAUCCGAGCGUUAUCCGGAUUUAUUGGGUUUAAAGGGAGCGUAGGUGGAUUGUUAAGUCAGUUGUGAAAGUUUGCGGCUCAACCGUAAAAUUGCAGUUGAAACUGGCAGUCUUGAGUACAGUAGAGGUGGGCGGAAUUCGUGGUGUAGCGGUGAAAUGCUUAGAUAUCACGAAGAACUCCGAUUGCGAAGGCAGCUCACUAGACUGUCACUGACACUGAUGCUCGAAAGUGUGGGUAUCAAACAGGAUUAGAUACCCUGGUAGUCCACACAGUAAACGAUGAAUACUCGCUGUUUGCGAUAUACAGUAAGCGGCCAAGCGAAAGCAUUAAGUAUU